rnacentral:rRNA from 1 species
CAUUCACGGAGAGUUUGAUCCUGGCUCAGGACGAACGCUGGCGGCGUGCUUAACACAUGCAAGUCGAACGAUGAAGCCCUUCGGGGUGGAUUAGUGGCGAACGGGUGAGUAACACGUGGGCAAUCUGCCCUGCACUCUGGGACAAGCCCUGGAAACGGGGUCUAAUACCGGAUAUGACCGUCCAUCGCAUGGUGGAUGGUGUAAAGCUCCGGCGGUGCAGGAUGAGC